rnacentral:lncRNA from 1 species
UUGCCACCGUCGCUAAUACUCAACAAAAGUAUGAAAAUGCAGGCCCAAAGACACCGAUGGUGUAGGAACAGUGGUGUGGGGAUGGGGACAGUGAUCCGGCAUGGGAAUUACAGAUCCAGUAAGGGGGCGGCGGAUCCAAUAAGAGAACAGUGGAUCCGAUGUAGGGAGAGCAGAUCCGGUAAGGGGGGUGGCAGAUCCGACAAGGCAACAGUGGUGCGGGGACUCC